rnacentral:lncRNA from 1 species
UCUUUGCUUGGAAGAUAAUCAUGAUGUUUGAGAGUUGAAUUGAUUGUGACCGAUUACCUGUGUGAGAUUUGAGCCAUUUGAUUAUCUUUCUCGUGUGUGAUAUGUCUCUGGAUUGCUUGCACAUUUGCCUUGGCUUGUCUCUGUUGAUAAUUCUUGAUUCAUGCGCAUGUUUGAAAAUGAUAAAGGCAUUUUGUUGAUUAAGCCUCUCUAGCCAGAUAGCCUACCCUGUUAUGAUCUCUUUGUUAGCCCCUUUGAGCCUAUACUUCCCCCAUUUCUUUGUUUUGAAGCUCAUACAAUAGCCUAAGUGAAAAACCAU